AUUGAACGCUGGCGGCAGGCCUAACACAUGCUAGUCGAACGAGUGGCGGACGGGUGAGUACUGUCUGGGAAACUGCCCGAUGGAGGGGGAUAACUUCUGGAAAUGGUAGCUAAUACCGCAUACCAUCAGAUGUGCCAAGAUGGGAUUAGCUUGUUGGUGGGGUAACGGCUCACCAAGGCGACGAUCCCUAGCUGGUCUGCGAGGAUGACCAGCCACACUGGAACUGAGACACGGUCCAUACUCCUACGGGAGGCAGCAGUGGGGAAUGUUGCACAAUGGGCGCAAGCCAGAUGCAGCCAUGCGGCGUGUAUGAAGAAGGCCUUCGGGUUGUAAAGUACUAUCAGCGGGAAGGCGUUACCCGCAGAAGAAGCACCGGCUAACUCCGUGCCAGCAGCCGCGGUAAUUC
rnacentral:rRNA from 1 species